rnacentral:rRNA from 1 species
CCCCAGGUCAGGCGGGGCUACCCGCUGAGUUUAAGCAUAUCAAUAAGCGGAGGAA